CUUAGUAGCGGCGAGUGAAGCGGCAAAAGCUCAAAUUUGAAAUCUGGCUCUUUCAGAGUCCGAGUUGUAAUUUGAAGAAGGUAUCUUUGGGUCUGGCUCUUGUCUAUGUUUCUUGGAACAGAACGUCACAGAGGGUGAGAAUCCCGUGCGAUGAGAUGAUCCAGGCCUAUGUAAAGUUCCUUCGAAGAGUCGAGUUGUUUGGGAAUGCAGCUCUAAGUGGGUGGUAAAUUCCAUCUAAAGCUAAAUAUUGGCGAGAGACCGAUAGCGAACAAGUACAGUGAUGGAAAGAUGAAAAGAACUUUGAAAAGAGAGUGAAAAAGUACGUGAAAUUGUUGAAAGGGAAGGGCUUGAGAUCAGACUUGGUAUUUUGUAUGUUACUUCUUCGGGGGUGGCCUCUACAGUUUAUCGGGCCAGCAUCAGUUUGGGCGGUAGGAGAAUUGCGUUGGAAUGUGGCACGGCUUCGGUUGUGUGUUAUAGCCUUCGUCGAUACUGCCAGCCUAGACUGAGGACUGCGGUUUAUACCUAGGAUGUUGGCAUAAUGAUCUUAAGUCGCCCGUCUUGAAACACGGACCAAU
rnacentral:rRNA from 1 species